GACGUAGGAGACGAGCGUUGUCCGGAUUUACUGGGCGUAAAGCGCGCGCAGGCGGCCCCGCAGGUCGGUUGUAAAAGCCCCCGGCUCAACCGGGCGGAGGCGAGCGAAACCGCGGGGCUGGAGGCUGGCAGAGGGUAGUGGAAUUCCCGGUGUAGUGGUGAAAUGCGUAGAGAUCGGGAGGAACACCCGCGGCGAAGGCGGCCACCUGGACCAGACCUGACGCUGAGGCGCGAAGGCCGGGGGAGCGAACGGG
rnacentral:rRNA from 1 species